UACGGAGGGAGCUAGCGUUGUUCGGAAUUACUGGGCGUAAAGCGUACGUAGGCGGCCUACUAAGUCAGACGUGAAAUCCCCAGGCUUAACUUGGGAACUGCGUCUGAUACUGGAAGGCUUGAGUGCGGGAGAGGGAUGUGGAAUUCCAGGUGUAGCGGUGAAAUGCGUAGAUAUCUGGAGGAACACCGGUGGCGAAGGCGGCAUCCUGGACCGACACUGACGCUGAGGCGCGAAAGCUAGGGGAGCAAACGGG
rnacentral:rRNA from 1 species